rnacentral:rRNA from 1 species
GCUAAACAUUUAGCCCCCCCCAUCUUAUGAAAUCCUCACACCUCCCCUAUUCAACUAAAACAUUCUUCUAAUUUAGUAAAGGUGAUUAAAAAAUUCAUCGGAGCAAUAACUAUAGUACCGUAAGGGAACAAUGAAAUAAUAAUGAAAAACUUUCAAGCACAAAAAAGCAGAGUUUUACCCUCGUACCUUUUGCAUCAUGAUUUAACUAGUCUAAAUAAGCAAAAAGGCUUUUAGUUUAUAUUCCCGAACCUAGACGAGCUAUUUUAAGGCAACUUUAUGAGCUUACCCGUCUCUGUCGCAAAAGAGUGGGGAGACCUUAAAAUAGCGGUGACAGACCAAACGAGUCUAGCGAUAGCUGGUUGCUCAUUAAAAGGAUCUUAGUCCUGCUUAAAGUUUUAUUUAUAAUACAAAAUUAAAUUACUUUACAGUUAUUCAAAUAAGGUACAGCCUAUUUGAAAAAGGAGACAACCUAAACUACUGGGUUAUUUAUUAUCGAUAUUUAUGAUAAAGUAGGCCUAAGAGCAGCCAUCUUACAUAAAAGCGUCAAAGCUUAUUCCUCCUAUCUACAUAAUCCCCACAUUUCCCACUAACCCCUUCCCCCCAAAGAGCAAUUCUAUACCCCUAUAGAAAAUUUUAUGUUAAAACUAGUAAUAAGAAGCAAGACCUUCUCUUUAAUGCAAACUCAUAUCAGUCAGAACAAUUCACUGAUCUUUAACGUCCCUAAAAACAAUGUAAUAACCAACCAAGAAAAUUUUACUCCCUCCAACGUUAACCUAACACAAGAGCAUUAGAAGAAAGAUUAAAAGAAAAAGAAGGAACUCGGCAAAUACCAGCCUCGCCUGUUUACCAAAAACAUCGCCUCUUGAUUAACUAUAAGAGGUCCUGCCUGCCCAGUGACUCUGUUCAACGGCCGCGGUAUCCUAACCGUGCGAAGGUAGCGUAAUCACUUGUUCUUUAAAUGAGGACUAGUAUGAAUGGCUCCACGAAGGCUGCACUGUCUCCUUUUUCUAAUCAAUGAAACUAAUCUUCCCGUGAAGAAGCGGGGAUAAUUAUAUAAGACGAGAAGACCCUAUGGAGCUUUAAACAACCGAAACACUUGCUUUAACAUUAUAUUUUCCCGAAUUUUUACUUUCACCCAAGCAUUUUGAUUUCUAGUUUUAGGUUGGGGUGACCACGGAGCAAAACAUAACCUCCAUGACGAAAUUCUUAAGCUUCCCUUUUAGCCACAAGCUACUACUUUAAGCAUCAAUAAAUUGACUUCUAUUGACCCAAUACAUUGAUCAACGAACCAAGUUACCCUAGGGAUAACAGCGCAAUCUACUUCGAGAGCUCAUAUCGACAAGUAGGUUUACGACCUCGAUGUUGGAUCAGGGUAUCCUAGUGGUGCAGCCGCUACUAACGGUUCGUUGUUCAACGAUUAAAAC